rnacentral:tmRNA from 1 species
UACGCUCUCGCUGCCUAGUCAGUGAGACGUCCUCCCGGUCUCCGCUCCGCGGGCCGGGAAGGGCGAUAUAAGCGGAGCUGCGGCCCGCCGACUGGUCGGUAGGCGGGCUCAAGUGAACCGACCUGGCGAGAACGAGGAGCGUGUCGGUGCGCGCCUCGGUCCGCGAGAUCAAAAUCGCCGACCACGCUCGUAGAAGCGAUCCGCGCGCAGGCCUUGGACGGGGAGUUCGACCCUCCCCCAUCUCCACAG